UACGUAGGGUGCGAGCGUUAAUCGGAAUUACUGGGCGUAAAGCGUGCGCAGGCGGUUUUGUAAGCCAGAUGUGAAAUCCCCGGGCUCAACCUGGGAAUGGCAUUUGGGACUGCAAGGCUGGAGUUUGGCAGAGGAGACUGGAAUUCCUGGUGUAGCAGUGAAAUGCGUAGAUAUCAGGAGGAAUACCGAUGGCGAAGGCAGGUCUCUGGGCUAUAACUGACGCUCAUGCACGAAAGCGUGGUGAGCAAACAGG
rnacentral:rRNA from 1 species